rnacentral:rRNA from 1 species
AUUGAACGCUGGCGGAAUGCUUUACACAUGCAAGUCGAACGGCAGCACGGACUUCGGUCUGGUGGCGAGUGGCGAACGGGUGAGUAAUGUAUCGGAACGUGCCCAGUCGUGGGGGAUAACGUAGUGAAAAUUACGCUAAUACCGCAUACGAUCUAUGGAUGAAAGCGGGGGAUCGCAAGACCUCGCGCGAUUGGAGCGGCCGAUAUCAGAUUAGGUAGUUGGUGGGGUAAAGGCCCACCAAGCCAACGAUCGGUAGCUAGUCUGAGAGGACGAGCAGCCCGACUGGAACUGAGACGAGGGCAAGAAUCCUACGGGAGGCAGCAGUGGGGAAUUUUGGACAAUGGGCGAAAGCCUGAUCCAGCCAUUCCGCGUGCAGGAUGAAGGCCCUCGGGUUGUAAACUGCUUUUGUACAGAACGAAAAGGUUUCUACUAAUACUAGGAGCUCAUGACGGUACUGUAAGAAUAAGCACCGGCUAACUACGUGCCAGCAGCCGCCGCAG